GAUGAACGCUAGCUACAGGCUUAACACAUGCAAGUCGAGGGGAAACGAUAUUGGAAGCUUGCUUCUGAUAGGCGUCGACCGGCGCACGGGUGAGUAACGCGUAUCCAACCUGCCCAUCACUUGGGGAUAACCUUGUGAAAGUAAGACUAAUACCCAAUGACGUCUCUAGAAGACAUCUGAAAGAGAUUAAAGAUUUAUCGGUGAUGGAUGGGGAUGCGUCUGAUUAGCUUGUUGGCGGGGUAACGGCCCACCAAGGCGACGAUCAGUAGGGGUUCUGAGAGGAAGGUCCCCCCACAUUGGAACUGAGACACGGUCCAAACUCCUACGGGAGGCAGCAGUGAGGAUAUUGGUCAAUGGACGAGAGUCUGAACCAGCCAAGUAGCGUGCAGGAUGACGGCCCUAUGGGUUGUAAACUGCUUUUAUAAGGGAAUAAAGUGGGAGUCGUGACUCUUUUUGCAUGUACCUUAUGAAUAAGGACCGGCUAAUUCCGUGCCAGCAGCCG
rnacentral:rRNA from 1 species